UUUAAAAAGAUAGGUUUAUUUCUCUUGUGAAAAAGACAAGCUGGUAAAUGGUCCAAGGCGCUAAGGCAGUGUGUUCCCCGAGCUGGUCCAGAGUAGGGUGACGAACUGCCCCAGUUUGCCCCUGGCACAGAGGGUGCUCCUAGGACACGGGGCUUUCAGUGCUAAAACCAGAAACCCAGGCAAACCGGAGUGGCCCUCCAUCUGCACAGCCAGAGCAGGCUCAGCACCACAGUGGCCUAGUUCCGCCUGAAAAGGGAAAGAGGAAGCAGGGGCAGACAGUGUCCCCCAGGGGCAGGCCUGAAGUCACGGCUGCCCUUGCUGCCCACACUGGGCAGGGCCCCACGCUAGCAGCCUAGGGGGCCACAUGCCCAGCUAACACACAGGGCUUCCACUACUGAAGAGAAUGGGUACUGGGGACACUUGGCAUCCUGUGCUGGGGUGAGCAGGUGGAGAGGGGAGAGGCUGGGAGUCAGGGGGCAGCGUAGGGAAAGGCAGGGCUUGUCACUGCAGAGUAGGAGCUACCUGCCCUCCUGGACCCCAGGGACCAAGGGACCCUGUUGUGAGACCCCAUCCCAUUGCCACCUGUGCAGGAGGACCAGAUUAAGCUGGGGCCUUUCCCACACCCACCCUCCCACCAUGAGGUAACACUGUCCCGGGACAAGCUCCAGCUCUGCCCCAUGGCACUCUGGGAGUUUGGCAGCAUCCUCUCAGUGGACCCUCCAGGAAGCCCUGUGAGGUCGGAACCACCACCCCUCUUUGCAGAGGAAGAAAUGGGUGCUCUGAGGAUGCAGGGCUGGCCAAGGACUCGCUUAUGGGCGACAGGGCUGGGAUUUGAACCCACAACUGACCUCAGUCUGUGCCAGGAUGAGGAGAGAGGGUGAAGAGAGGGUCCUCCAUCACUCCAACCCCUAAGCUCUCCAACCCUGCUCCUCCCCGUGGCCAGAGCCUCCGGCCAGGCAUGGGUCACGGCCAGCCAGGGGACCAGAAUGGGUAAGGCUGGAAGCAGGCAGAAGCCAAUUGCAACUGGGGUCCCAGGGACCAAGUCUUCUCCACAGCCUGGCUCCUUGAGGGGACUGGCGCAGGUAGGUGGGAGGGUCUGCUGGGUCCUAGAGCUGUCCCUUCCCCGGCUAAGAGAAGGCUGAUGGCAGGUGCUGGGGACUUGCUGGGAGACCAAAGUGCCAGAGGGAGGGCUGAGGCCGGAAGCCGGGCCCAGGAUGGGGACCUGGCCACGCCCCACCCCAACUAUCUUCAUUUCUAUUCCUCUGGGGUCGGAAGGAGGUGGGAAAGACUACAACAAGGCCUGGGGGGAGAAAGAAAGGCCAGCCAGCCCCCAGACACGGAGAAGCUUUGGAACACACCUCCACUUCCAUCAAUCUGUAAUGUAUAUAUUCACACCCUACCGAAUGAUUCCCAGCUGCAGAAUAGGGAGCACCCCAUAUGCCCCCACCUGAGCCCCAGGAGGGGAGCCCCUCUUACUGAGCUGCUGAGGGACCCGGCAGAUGGAGCAGGGAGAACCCUGUAGAAUGAAAUCGCCUCCAAGUGGCCGUGGGGUUCUGGGGCAGCAUCGUUGCUACCCCUCAGAGCACCACAGACCCGAGAAGUGGCCGCAGUGGAGUUUGCUGGGCAAAGGGGGAAGGUGCUGGCCUGAGGGUGGACCCUUCUCCCAGGAUCAUGACCGCCUCCCUGUGGGCUGCCAGGGGGCCGCAGUCUGGGCCGGGGCCAGGUCCUCCUGCAGUCACGGCUCUCCCAGCACAGCCCUCCACAUUACUUCUCUGUCCUCACAGCAGGGGGAGGGGAGGGGCAUCCCCUGCCACGCCUAUGUGCAGGUGGGGCUCAGAGAGGGCAGGGGACUGGCCCAAGGCCGCCCAGGUGGGCAGUGCCCUAGUGGGCCUCAAACCCAGGCCUGUCUGACCCGCCACCCAGGCUGCUCUGCACCCCCCUAAACACUGGGUCACGGAGGCAGGGACCUGAGGGUAACCCUCUUCUGCCCAGAGGGUGUGGCCAGACCGUCAGGCUAGGCAGGCUCGGGGCAGGUCAGCCUCAUCUCCCAGGCAGAAGCGACCUGCCUGAGGGAGGUGGCAUGGAAGGACCCUUUGCUGAGCCCCUCCCAGGGCCAGCCCCUCCCAGGGCUUCACACACAGGCUCCCAUCACCUCCCACAAGGUCUCUCCCGCGGGCGAGCGCUCGCAGGACGCACUUCGCAGGGGGUCCUGAGGCCCCAGGAGGGACCCUCUGGCCCAGGACGCCCGGUUUCCAGGGCUGCGGGCCCGUCUCCACUGCCGAGGGCGUGGCCGCACCGCUUUCUCCCCUCCGGCAGCUUCUGCCCUCGGGUCCUUCGUUCAUUCCACAGGCUCUCUGCCCGCGAGCCGCCGCCAAACCGACGAGCUCCUCUCCGGAGGGCGCGGCGCCCGCCGCUCCAGCUCCCGGGAAGCGGGGCAAGGAGCGCUCCCUCUCCCCGCGGGGCCCCGCCAGGUCCCGGCUGGGAAUUCGGCGGAGUUUCGAGAAGGGUGGGGGCCCUCGGGUGCAGGAGGGCGGCGGUGGCGUCUCCAGGCCAGCAAGGCUCCAGGAGCGUGGGCCGGCCCGGCGCGCCCGCACCGCAGCGGGUCCCCGCGCUGGACGCCGCCACGGCCGGCCACCUCCCGGCGGCUCGCGGGAGGCUCGGCCGGACUGGAGGGCGCGGAGCCGGGGCCGAGGGCUCCUCCCAGGCGGUCCCCGGCGCGUCCCUGACCCUCGCCCUCACCCCGGGCCGCGCGCGGGACGCCCGGUCGCGGUCGCUGUCGCUGUCGCCGCCGCAGCCAGGCCCGCCGGGUCUAGUGGUCCUAAACAUUUCACAAUUGCGCUACAGAACUGUUGAACUGUUAAGAACCACUGGACCCGGCGCGCGUCCGCGCUCCGCCGCGCUGUGGAGAGAAAGCCGC
ensembl:lncRNA